UACGAGGGGGUGCAAGCGUUGCUCGGAAUUAUUGGGCGUAAAGGGUAGGUAGGUGGUCUCAUUUGUCUGGGGUGAAAGCCUUGAGCUUAACUCAAGAAGUGCCUCGGAAACGGUGAGACUAGAGUCUUGGAGAGGGUUGCGGAAUUCCCGGUGUAGCGGUGAAAUGCGCAGAUAUCGGGAGGAACACCGGUGGCGAAGGCGGUUCUCUGGGCCUGUACUGACGCUGAGGAGCGAAAGCGUGGGGAGCGAACAGG
rnacentral:rRNA from 1 species